GACGAACGCUGGCGGCGUGCUUAACACAUGCAAGUCGAACGGAAAGGCCCUGCUUUUGUGGGGUGCUCGAGUGGCGAACGGGUGAGUAACACGUGAGUAACCUGCCCUUGACUUUGGGAUAACUUCAGGAAACUGGGGCUAAUACCGGAUAGGAGCUCCUGCUGCAUGGUGGGGGUUGGAAAGUUUCGGCGGUUGGGGAUGGACUCGCGGCUUAUCAGCUUGUUGGUGGGGUAGUGUCUUACCAAGGCUUUGACGGGUAGCCGGCCGGAGAGGGUGACCGGCCACAUUGGGAAUGAGAUACGGCCCAGACUCCUCCGGGAGGCAGCAGUGGGGAAUAUUGAACAAUGGGCGGAAGCCUGAUGCAGCAACGCCGCGUGCGGGAUGACGGCCUUCGGGUUGUAAACCGCUUUCGCCUGUGACGAAGCGUGAGUGACGGUAAUGGGUAAAGAAGCACCGGCUAACUACGUG
rnacentral:rRNA from 1 species